GAUGAACGCUGGCGGCGUGCCUAAUACAUGCAAGUCGAGCGAAUGGAUUAAGAGCUUGCUCUUAUGAAGUUAGCGGCGGACGGGUGAGUAACACGUGGGUAACCUGCCCAUAAGACUGGGAUAACUCCGGGAAACCGGGGCUAAUACCGGAUAACAUUUUGAACCGCAUGGUUCGAAAUUGAAAGGCGGCUUCGGCUGUCACUUAUGGAUGGACCCGCGUCGCAUUAGCUAGUUGGUGAGGUAACGGCUCACCAAGGGAACGAUGCGUAGCCGAGCUGGGGCGGGGAACGGCCACCAUGGGACUGAGCACCGGCCCAGACUCCUACGGGAGGCAGCAUUAGGGAAUCUUCCGCAAUGGACGAAAGUCUGACGGAGCAACGCCGCGUGAGUGACGAAGGCUUUCGGGUCGUAAAACUCUGUUGUUAGGGAAGAACAAGUGCUAGUUGAAUAAGCUGGCACCUUGACGGUACCUAACCAGAAAGCCACGGCUAACUACGUGCCAGCAGCCGCCGUAA
rnacentral:rRNA from 1 species